rnacentral:misc_RNA from 1 species
AUUCCACAGCUGCCAAAGCUAUCAAUUGGAAGCAUAUUUCAAGUUGCAAUAGCUAAUUGUUCCAAGGAUGAUGAGAAAUUGCUUGACUAUAAUGGUUUAGCAGGAAAGCUUCAUGAGUCAAUAGGGAAGAUGAAUAAUGACUAUGUGAGGAAGAUCCAUGCUGGUGGUGCGUACUUCCAGUUUCUAAGGAAAAAGGGCGAG